AAAGGUAGGAGUCUGCGCUCCCCGACGCUACCGGUGAAGCCACGGCGUUUCCACCGCACAGAAGGCACCGCUUCCUCCAACAUGGCAGCGCCCCUGCCCGGCCAAUGAAAGAGGACGCCACAGGCCCGCCUCCGCCUGCCUCCGCCUGCCUCCGCCAAGAGAGGCGCGCAGGCCCUACCGUCGAGCCAGCAGGUGAUGCUGCCCCCGAGCUGCAGAGGGCGACACUACAACCUCGCCUACGUUUCUGCAGGGCAGCCCCGACGCUGUUGAUGCCCGGUUGGCUACAGAACACUCAAAAAUUGCAAAGAGAAAUAUUGUGUUCUGGAAAUUCGCCCGAGCAUUUUUUUCCAAUAUCGUCCUUAUGCUCUUCUGAUCCUCUCUUGAACUGUUGGACUAAAGCAGCUGACGCUUCCACCAGCAACCAGAGUCAUCCUGUCCACUACUGUGGGAACAGAGGGUUUCCAUUUGGAACUGCAGACUGAGCCUAAAGUCUGGUGGCCCUUUGGUGCCAGGAUAGCAGAAAUGAUUCUACCAAUGCCAGCGGCAUACACCAGAAACCAGGAAGGAAUCAUACAGCUGAGCCAACCUGCUGUACUUUAAAACACUUGACCACAAUUCUCCAGUGGAUACUCAACCCUGGCUUCAAACUCCCUUGUCUCUCCGGUGAGUUUGCUUUCCCUCUAAUGGAUGACCGUUUCACACCUUCAAGACUUGCCUCAACAAUCCCUACCCCCACCUCUUCUGAACUAUGUCACCUCACUCCCAGCUCCUGUCCUAGGGAUGAGGGAGCAGAAGGCAAGCUUAGGACAAAGCAGAAGCUGGCGCCCUACACCCUCUCCCCAUGCCCUAUG